rnacentral:rRNA from 1 species
AACGAACGCUGGCGGCAUGCCUAACACAUGCAAGUCGAACGAACCCUUCGGGGUUAGUGGCGCACGGGUGCGUAACGCGUGGGGAUCUGCCCUUUGCUUCGGAAUAACAGUUAGAAAUGACUGCUAAUACCGGAUGAUGUCGUAAGACCAAAGAUUUAUCGGCAAAGGAUGAACCCGCGUAGGAUUAGCUAGUUGGUGGGGUAAAGGCCUACCAAGGCGACGAUCUUUAGCUGGUCUGAGAGGAUGAUCAGCCACACUGGGACUGAGACACGGCCCAGACUCCUACGGGAGGCAGCAGUGGGGAAUAUUGGACAAUGGGCGAAAGCCUGAUCCAGCAAUGCCGCGUGAGUGAUGAAGGCCUUCGGGUUGUAAAGGCUCUUUUACCUAGGGAUGAUAAUGACAGUACCCGCAUAAGAAGCACCGGCUAACUACGUGCCAGCAGCCGCGGUAAU